AGGGUGUGAGCACGCAGUUGACCACCCGCCUACAUGAAGACGUGCAAGUCAGAAAGUAGCGUGUACCGCGGAAGGCAACGAAACAAGAGAUGGCACGAAAACAAAGAUGAUGAUGAAGCUCACGCCGUCAGGUACUCCACGUGGUCAUCCCCAAUUUUGUCGAGGCUUUGCAGGCGGUCGCAGACAACGUCGUCGCUACGUGAGACCUGCUAUUACCUAUGCGCAAGCAGAAGCGUGGCGGUUUCUACCUAACCAGGGAACAUCUUUUUCGUAAGAGCGACAACCCCGACAACUUCGACAGCGGAAAUUCACGCCUUCGACAUACAAAAGAGUUCAUUCUUUCAGCACCGCACAAAAAGUAUUAUUCUUGAGAACAGUGUCGAACUUGUCAUCUACGGCGCCCUGCCCAUGAGUGCAGGAAAAACGUGUGACUGGGUUCGCGAGCACUUAUGCAUUAUGAAAUAAAAUCAUCGAUGGCCCGCGG